ensembl:lncRNA
CAUAGGCAGACCAUCAUGUUGGUAGAACUUCCUUCCUCCCAUUCUGCAUAGUGACUCGUAAGAAGUGACAAAUGUUCAACCCCCCCCCCCCCCCAAAGUGGCUUUGGAAAUGCAUGUGGAGAUGUAGUAGGGACAGAGAUCAGAUCACCUAUCUGAUUUUUGUUCAUUUCCACUGUUUCGCUAGCAGAAAUCCAUUACAGGAUGUGUACUGGCCUUUGAGUUCAGUGUAAUUCUAUGCAUGCUUAGUCAGAAAUGGGUCAUGCUAUUUGCAAUGGAUUUUUUUUUUAGCAAUGGCAUAGUGUUCUAGUUUUAGAUGGAUAUACUGGAGUGAAGCUUUUCUCUGUGAGUCAGGUUGUGAAAACUAGAGAAAAGUUUAUCUUAUUCUGGUUCUUACUGUUAUUUCUUUCUGCACAGGAUAGAACACAGCAUGUUUAGAAUAUUCCUGGAACAUCUGGAAAGAAAGGAAACAUUUCAAGGUUGACUCUGUUAUUGGUUACCUCUCCCUUGUCAAGCAGCAGUCACUUUCAAUGGCAGGUGCAUGGUGAUGUGGAAGAGGCAACUGUCGGAGCCCUUGGCUGUUCCCCUUCACUGGAAGAAUUGGCAUCCAAAAAAGAAACGAGUACCGAGGCAGCCAAAGACGAGAGCUGAGGAGGGCCUAAGAAUAUCGGAAAUAAAAUGUGUGACAACAUCGAAAUGGAUCUGACAUUUUCAUCUCCUAAUUGUGAAACUGCUGCAUGUUUGGGUUCAGCGAGUUUCAUGGUAAGCUCGUUAGGGUUGUGUAAAGGACGCAGGACUGAUUGUAUGAACUUCCCAGGAGAUGCAAUCUAGCUGCUGGCCCAUGUCCUGACUGUCAUGCCAGUCUAUCAGUCAUCCACUGACCUUACUCAGGCAGGGUAGACUUUCAAUGAGAAUGAAGAAAUGAUUUUUCUCUCUUGAUUGUCUUUGGGGGCUUCCCCACUCCUUCAGUCGGCUUCCCCCUUCCCUUGAUGGCAUGCAAAUAUCUUAUGCAUGUCAUUCCUGUUGGGAAUAAGGAGGAUGGGCAGCAAAGGUUUAGCUAGCACACAGGGGCUCUUGAAAACGAAUUUGUAAUAAUUGCUUUUAUAUUUAUUUUAACAUGAUUUUUAGGCUGCUUGGUUUAAGUCAAUGUUUUGGGCCUCAUCUAUACUGGCCAGUUAAUUCAGGGCCAAUGAUCUGAACUGGUCUCAGAGGGUGACACACACACUUUUCCGAACUUGCGGCAGUGUGGAAUCAGAGUCCAGAUGAUCCAGCUGGGUUAAGACCACAUUGGCCCUUCUGGACUGUCACUUUACGUCUGUGUUGCCAUUGCCACUGUCAGACAGCCACAAAGCUCUGUGAGAGCUCCUAGCCAUUGCAGGUGCUCCAUGCUGCCAUCAGCAAAGGUGUCUACAUGAGUAAGAAGGAAGGGGGAUGUCAGCACGGGAUGCUGCUGAUGGUCAGAAGCUCUCAUGGAGCUCUACAGCCAUUUGGCAGCAGUGACAACUAAGAUACGGGCCCAAUAUGUUCCUCUUUCCCUGCACUGAUGAACACAGGCUAAAGGGGAUGGCAGUGGUGGCCCAUAUAGACAUUAGACCAGGCUGAAUCCAACCUAAUU